GACGAACGCUGGCGGCGUGCCUAAUACAUGCAAGUAGGACGCUGAAGGAGGAGCUUGCUUCUCUGGAUGAGUUGCGAACGGGUGAGUAACGCGUAGGUAACCUGCCUGGUAGCGGGGGAUAACUAUUGGAAACGAAAGCUAAUACCGCAUAAUAGCAGUUGUUGCAUGACAACAGUUCGAAAGGUGCAAUUGCACCACUACCAGAUGGACCUGCGUUGUAUUAGCUAGUGGGUGGGGUAACGGCUCACCACGGCGACGAUACAUAACCGACCGGAGAGGGGGGUCGGCCGCACUGGGGCGGGGACACGGCCCAGACUCCUACGGGAGGCAGCCGUAGCGAAUCCUCGGCAAUGGACGGAAGUCUGACCGAGCAACGCCGCGUGAGUGAAGGAGGUUUUCGGAGCGUAAAGCUCUGUUGUAAGAGAAGAACGAGUGUUAGAGUGGAAAGUUCACACUGUGACGGUAUCUUACCAGAAAGGGACGGCUAACUACGUG
rnacentral:rRNA from 1 species